AUUGAACGCUGGCGGAAUGCUUUACACAUGCAAGUCGAACGGCAGCACGGACUUCGGUCUGGUGGCGAGUGGCGAACGGGUGAGUAAUACAUCGGAACGUGCCCAGUCGUGGGGGAUAACGUAGCGAAAGCUACGCUAAUACCGCAUACGAUCUAAGGAUGAAAGCGGGGGAUCGCAAGACCUCGCGCGAUUGGAGCGGCCGAUGGCAGAUUAGGUAGUUGGUAGGGUAAAGGCCUACCAAGCCGACGAUCUGUAGCUGGUCUGAGAGGAUGAUCAGCCAAACUGGGACUGAGACACGGCCCAGACUCCUACGGGAGGCAGCAGUGGGGAAUUUUGGACAAUGGGCGCAAGCCUGAUCCAGCCAUUCGGCGUGCAGGAUGAAGGCCUUCGGGUUGUAAACUGCUUUUGUACAGAACGAAAAGGCUCUGGUUAAUACCCGGGGCUCAUGACGGUACUGUAAGAAUAAGCACCGGCUAACUACGUGCCAGCAGCCGCGGUAA
rnacentral:rRNA from 1 species